rnacentral:rRNA from 1 species
CCCUUAGAUGUUCUGGGCCGCACGCGCGCUACACUGACGGAGUCAACGAGUUGUCCUGCAUCGGAAGGUGUGGGUAAUCUUUUGAAACUUCGUCGUGCUGGGGAUAGAUCUUUGCAAUUUUCGAUCUUGAACGAGGAAUUCCUAGUAAGCGUGAUUCAUCAGAUCGCGUUGAUUACGUCCCUGCCCUUUGUACACACCGCCCGUCGCUACUACCGAUUGAAUGGUUUAGUGAGGCCUCGGGACUGGCGCGCUCGAGUAGCAAUACACCUGCGCGCCGGGAACUUGGUCAAACUUGGUCAUUUAGAGGAAGUAAAAGUCGUAACA